AUUGAACGCUGGCGGCAUGCUUUACACAUGCAAGUCGGACGGCAGCACAGAGAAGCUUGCUUCUUGGGUGGCGAGUGGCGAACGGGUGAGUAACAUAUCGGAACGUACCGAGCAGUGGGGGAUAACUAAUCGAAAGAUUAGCUAAUACCGCAUAUAUUCUGAGGAAGAAAGCAGGGGACCAUUUGGCCUUGCGCUGUUUGAGCGGCCGAUAUCUGAUUAGCUGGUUGGUGGGGUAAAGGCCUACCAAGGCGACGAUCAGUAGCGGGUCUGAGAGGAUGAUCCGCCACACUGGGACUGAGACACGGCCCAGACUCCUACGGGAGGCAGCAGUGGGGAAUUUUGGACAAUGGGCGCACGCUUGAUCCAGCCAUGCCGCGUGUCUGAAGAACGUGCCUUCGGGUUGUAAAGGACUUUUGUCAGGGAAGAAAAGGAUAGGGUUAAU
rnacentral:rRNA from 1 species